CCCUUAGAUGUCCUGGGCCGCACGCGCGCUACACUGACAUGUUCAACAAGCCUCCUAGUUCGACAGGAUUUGGGAAAUCUUUGAACGCAUGUCGUGAUAGGGAUAGAUCAUUGCAAUUAUUGAUCUUGAACGAGGAAUUCCUAGUAAACGCGAGUCAUCAGCUCGCAUUGAUUACGUCCCUGCCCUUUGUACACACCGCCCGUCGCUCCUACCGAUUGAAUGUUCCGGUGAGCUCUUCGGACUGCGCGGUCUGCAGUUUCUGCGUUCCGUGCGGAAAGUUGUGCAAACCUUAACAUUUAGAGGAAGGAGAAGUCGUAACA
rnacentral:rRNA from 1 species